rnacentral:rRNA from 1 species
CAAUAGCGUAUAUCAAAGUUGUUGCGGUUAAAAAGCUCGUAGUUGGAUUUCUGCCGAGGACGACCGGUCCGCCCUCCGGGUGAGUAUCUGGCUCGGCCUGGGCAUCUUCUUGGAGAACGUAGCUGCACUUGGCUGUGUGGUGCGGUAUUCAGGACUUUUACUUUGAGGAAAUUAGAGUGUUUCAAGCAGGCAUACGCCUUGAAUACAUUAGCAUGGAAUAAUAAGAUAGGACCUCGGUUCUAUUUUGUUGGUUUCUAGAUCUGAGGUAAUGAUUAAUAGGGAUAGUUGGGGGCAUUCGUAUUUAACUGUCAGAGGUGGAAUUCUUGGAUUUGUUAAAGACGGACUACUGCGAAAGCAUUUGCCAAGGAUGUUUUCAUUGA